rnacentral:rRNA from 1 species
AUGCCUCGGAAGCAUUUGAGAGAUGGCAACGCAGCCUAUGACACGGGGAGCUCGCUGCACGACUCCUACGAGCUGGCCUCCCUCAACAGGAUCCUGGACCGGCACCUCGCUGUCGCUGGCCCGCCGUCCCCUCGUGAGUCCCGGCGGGAGGGGAUCACUCCCACUGAAGAGGGAAAGAACCAGCAGGUCGUGGCGUUCAGGGCCCGCGGGAACAGGAAGGUGACUUGCUUUCGGGCCCACCUGUCAGUGGCCCGACUGCACCCUGCAGUACGUCAGAGGAGACUCGUCCGACGCUGA